rnacentral:rRNA from 1 species
UGGUACCGUCAAACUUACGGGGUAUUAACCCGCAAGCCUUCGUCCCAACUGACAGGAGUUUACAAUCCGAAGACCUUCAUCCUCCACGCGGCGUUGCUGGAUCAGGCUUUCGCCCAUUGUCCAAUAUUCCCUA